rnacentral:rRNA from 1 species
AAAGCGUGCGCAGGCGGUUAUGUAAGACAGUUGUGAAAUCCCCGGGCUCAACCUGGGAACUGCAUCUGUGACUGCAUAGCUAGAGUACGGUAGAGGGGGAUGGAAUUCCGCGUGUAGCAGUGAAAUGCGUAGAUAUGCGGAGGAACACCGAUGGCGAAGGCAAUCCCCUGGACCUGUACUGACGCUCAUGCACGAAAGCGUGGGGAGCAAACAGGAUUAGAUACCCUUGU